rnacentral:rRNA from 1 species
CAACCUGCCCUUCAGAGGGGAUAACAACGGGAAACCGUUGCUAAUACCGCGUACGAUUCAUAGACGGCAUCGUUUGUGAAUGAAAGGUGGCCUCUAUUUAUAAGCUAUCGCUGAAGGAGGGGAUUGCGUCUGAUUAGCUAGUUGGAGGGGUAAACGGGCCCACCAAGGCAAUGAUCAGUAGCCAGUCUGAGAGGAUGAACGGCCACAUUGGGACUGAGACACGGCCCAAACUCCUACGGGAGGCAGCAGCG